rnacentral:rRNA from 1 species
ACAUGCCUACAACUUAGUAUUAAUGCACCAGAUCCGAUUAGAACUAUUCAGUUAAGUGCGCUCAGGUUAGAGUAGUACUUGAAUGGGUGACCGCUUGGGAAGUCCUAGUAUUUUACAUGCC